rnacentral:rRNA from 1 species
CGGGGGGAGCAAGCGUUGUUCGGAUUUACUGGGCGUAAAGGGCGCGUAGGCGGCCUCUGCAAGUCGACUGUGAAAUCUCCGGGCUUAACCCGGAAUGGUCAGCCGAUACUGCAGGGCUAGAGUGCAGAAGGGGCAACUGGAAUUCUCGGUGUAGCGGUGAAAUGCGUAGAUAUCGAGAGGAACACCUGCGGCGAAGGCGGGUUGCUGGGCUGACACUGACGCUGAAGCGCGAAAGCUAGGGGAGCGAACGGGAUUAGAUACCCCGGUAGUCCUAGCCUUAAACGAUGAAUGCUUGGUGUCUGGGGUUUUAUAGUCCCCGGGUGCCGUCGCUAACGCUUUAAGCAUUCCGCCUGGGGAGUACGGUCGCAAGACUG